rnacentral:piRNA from 1 species
ACCUGGUACCUGUGAAUGUGACCUUACAUA